CAGAUACAUACAGAGAGAAUAAUAAUCAUCAAUUUCUGAUCUGGAUGAAAAAAUUAACAGCAUUGGGAAAGGAGUACAAAGGACUUCAAUUACCUUCCUGGAACGGGAUUUUCAGGCCUUUUCCCUCUUGAAUGUGAGUUUAUCUUCAUACCGGACAGACAGUCAGUUCACUUUUCAGAAGAACGUAAGUUCUCUGGCCGGACAAUGUCAGAGUAAGGGGAUUGCACUGUGGGAGCUGCUCAUUAUGUGCUACCUAAAGAGAUGCUGCCUUCACAUAAUUCAAGCCUUCGCUGCACCAGGAGACGAUAGGAAAGAAGACAUCAGCACGGGCUGAGACCCACAGCCAAGCCUGCCUUGAAGGAAAUCUUGACUGUACAAAGCCCAGAGGAAGAGUUGACCUAUAAUCAGGAGGCUGGCUCAUCAUGACCUAGAGCCAGAAUCCUAGAGCCAGGACACUCAAAGGUCUACAGCUCUCCUGAAAAAUAAACCGACUUGCUCUGUGA